rnacentral:rRNA from 1 species
AUGCACGCUGGCGGCGUGCCUAAUACCUGCAAGUCGAGCGAACAGACGAGGAGCUUGCUCCUCUGACGUUAGCGGCGGACGGGUGAGUAACACGUGGAUAACCUACCUAUAAGACUGAGAUAACUUCGGGAAACCGGAGCUAAUACCGGAUAAUAUAUUGAACCGCAUGGUUCAAUAGUGAAAGACGGUUUUGCUGUCACUUAUAGAUGGAUCCGCGCCGCAUUAGCUAGUUGGUAAGGUAACGGCUUACCAAGGCAACGAUGCGUAGCCGACCUGAGAGGGUGAUCGGCCACACUGGAACUGAGACACGGUCCAGACUCCUACGGGAGGCAGCAGUAGGGAAUCUUCCGCAAUGGGCGAAAGCCUGACGGAGCAACGCCGCGUGAGUGAUGAAGGUCUUCGGAUCGUAAAACUCUGUUAUUAGGGAAGAACAAAUGUGUAAGUAACUAUGCACGUCUUGACGGUACCUAAUCAGAAAGCCACGGCUAACUACGUG